AUUGAACGCUGGCGGCAGGCUUAACACAUGCACGUCGAGCGAGCGGCGGACGGGUGAGUAAUGUCUGGGAAACUGCCUGAUGGAGGGGGAUAACUACUGGAAACGGUAGCUAAUACCGCAUACCAUCAGAUGUGCACAGAUGGGAUUAGCUAGUGGGUGGGGUAAUGGCUCACCUAGGCGAUGAUCCAUAGCUGGUCUGAGAGGAUUACCAGCCGCACUGGACCUUAGAGACGGUCCAUGCUCCUACGGGAGGCAGCAGAGGGGAAUAUUGGACAGUGGGCGCAAGCCUGAUGCAGCCAUGCCGCGUGUGGGAAUAAGGCCUUCGGGUUGUAAAGCACUGUCAGCGAGGAGGCGUUACUCGCAGAAGAAGCACCGGCUAACUCAGUGCCAGCAGCCGCGGUAAUAC
rnacentral:rRNA from 1 species